rnacentral:rRNA from 1 species
GACGAACGCUGGCGGCGUGCUUAACACAUGCAAGUCGAACGGUGAACCAGAGCUUGCUCUGGGGAUCAGUGGCGAACGGGUGAGUAACACGUGGGCAACCUGCCCCAGACUCUGGGAUAACCUCGGGAAACCGAUGCUAAUACCGGAUACGACCACUUCGGACAUCCGACGGUGGUGGAAAGUUUUUCGGUCUGGGAUGGGCCCGCGGCCUAUCAGCUAGUUGGUGGGGUAAUGGCCUACCAAGGCGACGACGGGUAGCCGGCCUGAGAGGGCGACCGGCCACACUGGAACUGAGACACGGUCCAGACUCCUACGGGAGGCAGCAGUGGGGAAUAUUGCACAAUAGGGCGGAAAGACCUCGAUGCAGCGACGCCGCGUGAGGGACGG